GCCAGUUUCCAAAUCAUGAGCCUUCUCAUAUCACAGUUCAUCUACUCCUCCAGCAACUGCUUACUGGGUACUUUUUCUGUGGCAGGUCCUCCAUCAGGUACUAGGAGACACAAAUGACUGAAAUCAAAGCAGUUUUGAUACAACUUGACAGACUGCUUAGCCAUAAGGAAACAAAUGGGCAGAUGCAGAACAAUGGGUACAAGUGUAGCAAUCACCACACACGGUGCUGUGGGAGGACCUGGAGAAAAGGAAUCAGAGAAGGCAUCCUACAGAUGGCUGACAAGUAACUGGAAGGAAGAACAAGAAUUAGUUAGGUGGUAGGUAGAAGGUUCCAGGCAAGGCUCCAUGGAUGACAACACCACCAUGUCAGGAGCAGAAAGAGCCUCUGAAGGCUGCACGAAGCACAAGGGUGUGUGUGGCACACUCUGGAUUCAAGGUUGUUACUACUCCCUGGGUAAAUGGUGAGAGAGUACAAAGAGGCAGAUGAAAGGAGCAGCUAGGGUAAACCUAGGAGCUUCCCCAGUUGCAGAACAGAGACCAUGCCAGGUACAGGACCUAGAAUUGGCCAGAGAAGCAGGUGAUGUAAUAGGAAAGGAAAAAGAAGAGAGUAAGUUACUGAAACCACGGAAGAGGAAGUAAACAGAGGUUAUCCAUGCUGAGCAGGGUAAAGUAAGGAUGCAAAGUAUCCAUUGGCCUUGCAAAAGGAAGUUAAUAGUUAUUUUGUCAGACAUUCUUUCAGAGGCACAAGUGCAAUCCCCCUGUGUGAAGGAGUUUCCAGAAGGUGGACAAUGGGCAUAGGGGCGAUUCAUUUCAAAAAUUUCAACUAUGGAACAACUAUAGAAGUGGCUGGAGGGCAAGUCUUGGAUGAAGGAAGCUAAGAAUGUUUACCUGUUCCAGGUGCAAUGGCAGUAGAGAGAAAGGCCUGAGAGCACAGCCUAAGAGAGUCACUAAGCCAGCAGAACAGCACACCUUUAACAGGUGACACGGAAGGCGUCCAGGGCCAGAUUUAAGGUGUGCCUUAAACAAACAGGCACCAAGGGUCCUUUUGUUGUGAGAAAAUGAGGUGGGAUAGGCCUGAGGCUGCAGGAGGCAGACUGUUUGUUGUGAAUGGGAGGCAGGUCUGAGGUGAAAGACUGGAUUUCUUGUGGCUCGGUCUGAAAAACAUUUCUCCCAGCAGCACUUGGGAGCCUUAGAAGAGAAAGGGAGGUCAAGAGUUGACAGGCAGGCUUUCGCUCUCCAGCUAAAGAUGGUGGAGCGCGGCUACAGCUUUUCGCUGACUACACUCAGCCCCUCCGGUAAACUUGUCCAGAUUGAAUACGCUUUGGCUGCUAUAGCUGGAGGAGCCCCUUCAGUGGGAAUUAAAGCUGCAAAUACUGUGGUAUUAGCAACUGAGAAGAAACAGAAAUCCAUUCUGUAUGAUGAGCGAAGUGUACACAAAGUGGAACCAAUCACCAAGCAUACAGGUUUGGUGUAUAGUGGCAUGGGCCCAGAUUACAGAGUGCUUGUGCACAGAGCUCGAAAACUGGCUCAGCAAUACUAUCUCGUUUAUCAAGAACCCAUUCCCACAGCUCAAUUGGUACAGAGAGUAGCUUCUGUGAUGCAAGAGUAUACGCAGUCAAGUGGUGUUCAUCCAUUUGGAGUUUCAUUACUUAUCUGUGGUUGGAAUGAGGGACGACCAUAUUUAUUUCAGUCACAUCCAUCUGGAGCUUACUUUGCCUGGAAGGCCACAGCGAUGGGAAAGAACUAUACAAAUGGGAAGAUAUUUCUUGAGAAAAGAUAUAAUGAAGAUCUGGAACUUGAAGAUGCCAUUCACACAGCCAUCUUAACCCUAAAGGAAAGCUUUGAAGGGCAAAUGACAGAAGAUAACAUUGAAGUUGGGAUCUGCAAUGAAGCCGGCUUUAGGAGGCUCACUCCAACUGAAGUUAAGGGUUACCUGGCUGCCAAAGCAUAAUAAGGAAGUGACUGAACAAUCCGGAAUUUCACAUAAUCUAUGUACUUACACAUGUUCGAAGUAUGUUUUGUUUUGCAGACUUUUUGCAUACUUACUUCUACAUGGUUUAAUGGACUGAUGUUUUUAAAAUGACACUUACAAAUCAUAAUAAACUGU